rnacentral:rRNA from 1 species
AGCUCCAGUAGCGUAUAUUAAAGUUGUUGCAGUUAAAAAGCUCGUAGUUGGAUUUCUGGUGUGGGAAGCCUCGCCCGCCGCGAUUCGCGUGUGAGUUGUGGGGCGUCCCCACCAUCCUUCUGGUUAGCCUGUCUACCCUUCAUUGGGCCGGACUGUGCGACCCAGAUCGUUUACUUUGAGUAAAUUAGAGUGUUCAAAGCAGGCUCGCGCUAUGAAUAUAUCAGCAUGGAAUAAUAAUUUAGGACUUUGGUUCUAUUUUGUUGGUUUCUAGAAUUGAAGUAAUGAUUGAUAGGGAUAGUUGGGGGUGCUCGUAUUUAGCGGCCAGAGGUGAAAUUCUUGGAUUCGCUAAAGACGAACUUAUGCGAAAGCAUUCACCAAGGAUGUCUUCUUUAAUCAAGAA